AGCUCCAAUAGCGUAUAUUAAAGUUGUUGCGGUUAAAAAGCUCGUAGUUGGAUUUCUGCCGAGGACGACCGGUCCGCCCUGUGGGUUGGCAUCUGGAUUGGCUUUGGCAUCUUCUUGGGGAACGUAGCUGCACUUGACUGUGUGGUGCGGUAUCCAGGACUUUUACCUUGAGGAAAUUAGAGUGUUUCAAGCAGGCGCACGCCUUGAAUACAUUAGCAUGGAAUAAUAAGAUAGGACCUCGGUUCUAUUUUGUUGGUUUCUAGAGCUGAGGUAAUGAUUAAUAGGGAUAGUUGGGGGCAUUCGUAUUUAACUGUCAGAGGUGGAAUUCUUGGAUUGCGUUACGACAAACUACUGCGAAAGCAUUUGCCAAGGAUGUUUUCAUUGAUCAAGAACGAAAGU
rnacentral:rRNA from 1 species